UGGCUGAGUGGUAAAGCGCUUAUCUUCCAAACCGGAUUCCCUGGUUCGAAUCCUGG
rnacentral:tRNA from 1 species